GCGUAGUGAGGAGGUAGAUUGGUGAUAUCAUCUCGGGUAUUAGCGGCUCUGAGUGGGCUGCCAGAGAGGAUAUUGCUGACGAAGGGUCACGGACUGUCUUCUCAUCUUUAACACGUGACGUCAAGCUUGCGUCAGGCAGUGUUGUGAUGGCGCUAAUCGACUUCCUGGAAGUGCCUGACGCGGCGCUGGAUGGGGGCACUGGACAGCUCGGAGAGCACGUCGUUUGGAAAUACAGGCUGUGAGAGAACAUGCCAAAGCCCCUCCGUGCCUUGUUGUCUCCUCGCGUGCCGAAGGGAGGUGCGCACCAGCAUGUGUUGGCGUUCUGUUCUGCUCAGCACAUUCCUGCACCCGUGACGUUUGCAGCCAGCCCCACCAAAGUUUAUAAACAUUGCAACCCGCCCUCCUUCUCUCAGCUCCGCGCAGGAAUGUAAGGCAUCUCAGCAUUAAUAACUAUAGACUCAUUGUGAACACUUGCCAGGCCACGGAGACUUGGGGCUUACCUGCGUGGGUGUGUCGGGAAGAUGGUAGGGGGUGUGUGGCG